UGGGGAAUAUUGCACAAUGGGCGCAAGCCUGAUGCAGCCAUGCCGCGUGUGUGAAGAAGGCCUUCGGGUUGUAAAGCACUUUCAGCGGGGAGGAAGGCGGUGAGGUUAAUAACCUCAUCGAUUGACGUUACCCGCAGAAGAAGCACCGGCUAACUCCGUGCCAGCAGCCGCGGUAAUACGGAGGGUGCAAGCGUUAAUCGGAAUUACUGGGCGUAAAGCGCACGCAGGCGGUCUGUCAAGUCGGAUGUGAAAUCCCCGGGCUCAACCUGGGAACUGCAUUCGAAACUGGCAGGCUAGAGUCUUGUAGAGGGGGGUAGAAUUCCAGGUGUAGCGGUGAAAUGCGUAGAGAGCUGGAGGAAUACCGGUGGCGAAGGCGGCCCCCUGGACAAAGACUGACGCUCAGGUGCGAAAGCGUGGGGAGCAAACAGG
rnacentral:rRNA from 1 species